CUCGUAGGCGGUCUGUCGCGUCGGUCGUGAAAACCUGCAGCUUAACUGUGGGCUUGCGGUCGAUACGGGCAUGACUGGAGUUCGGCAGGGGAGACUGGAAUUCCUGGUGUAGCGGUGAAAUGCGCAGAUAUCAGGAGGAACACCGGUGGCGAAGGCGGGUCUCUGGGCCGAUACUGACGCUGAGGAGCGAAAGCGUGGGGAGCGAACA
rnacentral:rRNA from 1 species